GCCAGACUCCUACGGGAGGCAGCAGUGGGGAAUAUUGCACCGUGGGGGGAACCCUGCUGCAGCGAUGCCGCGUGGAGGACGACGGUUUUCGGAUUUUCCCCUCCUUUUAUCCUUGACGAUAAUGCCGGUACCUGACUCCCCCGCUCCGGCUCCCUCCGUGCCAUCCUCCUCGGUAAUCCUUCUUGGGCAAGCUUUCUCCGGAUUUCCUGGGUGUAAAGGGAGCGUAGACGGCAGCGCAAGUCUGAAGUGAAAUCCCAGGGAGUAACCAUGGAACUGCUUUGGAAACUGUGCAGCCGGAGUGCAGGAGAGGGAAGCGGAAUGCCUAGUGUAGCGGUGAAAUGCGUAGAGAGGAGGAGGAACACCAGUGGCGAAGGCGGCUUACUGGACUGUAACUGACGUUGAGGCUCGAAAGCGUGGGGAGCAAACAGGAUUAGAUACCCUAGUA
rnacentral:rRNA from 1 species